AGUCAUGUUUAUGCGCAGCUGGACGUAACUGAUCUUGUCUGCUCUCAGCAGCUAAACAGUCCCAGGCUUGUCUCCUACUUGGAUAGGAAAUCUAGAAAUCUUAGGUG
ensembl:rRNA 5S_rRNA 5S ribosomal RNA